UCUUGAACUUCAGUUUCAUUCCUACAAUGAGUGCUGGGAUAAUAACCUGAAGAUCUUUCCAUUCUCUGUUUUUAAUGCAACAUAACUUUUUGAAAGAAUGUGUAAAAUAGGUUGGAUUUUCUAUUUUACUAAAGCCUUACAGAAGCACCUCUGAGACUCAAUCAGUGAAACAAACCCAAGGCCACGCUUGGCAUUUAGUGAAGAAAGAGUGAAAGAGGAAUUGGAAUGGUUACCUUGGAGAUCCUGGAGAAAGUAGAAAAACGAUGACAGCAAAUAUCUGUAUGGUACGCACAAGUAAAGCUCUUAGGACUGUGCCAGGCACAGAGUGAGGGCUACAUAAGCAUCUGAUAUUGCUAUUGUUAUCAUUGUUGUCAAUCUUAACAAGAACCAGGAUGUAUGACUCUACUAUUAACAUACCAAUUUUGCAGAUUAUAAAACCAGAGGAUUAGGUUUUACUCAGGAUACAUGCCAGGUUGUAUCAGACACCUCCAAUACCAUAGCUUCAAUAGGAUAUAAUGUUUUUUCCUCUAUCCUAAAAUAUUCAAGCAGGUAGUCCACUGUUGGUAGGGCAACUCACCAUUAUCUGGGACCUGAACCCUUCUAUCUUUUUACUCUUUCAUUCUCAGUGAGGCUUCCACUUUGCAGUUCCAGAUGACUGCUCUAGCUCUCAGCUUCAUGUCGACAUUCCAAAGGAAUAUGGGCAAUACUUUCUUUUCAUUGAAGGAAAAAGCUCAGGAAUUGCACACAAUUUCUGUUGAUUUCACAUUGACCACAAUUUAAUCACAUGGCUAUACUCAUCUGCAAGGGACACUGAAGUGUACUAUUUAGCUGAGAGUUCAAAUACCCAGCUAAAAAGUAUAUAUUCACGUAAGAAGGAGAAAAAGUUAUUAGGUGGCAACCAGCAGUCUCUGCCACAGAGAUGUUAAGGAGAUUGCUCAAGAAAGCAUGAAUAUUAAGUAAUAAUGCUAGGAUUUGAAUGUAGGCAGUGUCAUUUCAGACAAACUCCCUUGCUCUGAAACUUCCUCUCCAGCCUAUGAGUUAAGUCAAAUAGGCAUGAUGAUACAGGCUUGCACGCAUCUCAGGCAAGUACCUAACAAGCAUUUACAGCAGUUUCUCAAUCUUUCUUAACCCACUCUCUUCUAAUAAAUAUUACAUUGUUACUCCCGUCUCCUCCCUUCCC
rnacentral:lncRNA from 1 species